GAAUGUGAGGGCGAUCUGGGUUUGCCAUUUAUCACCCCAUUAUCUCCAGGGUUGAUUUGGCUCAUGUGGUUGGCUAGGCAGGUGUCUCCUUCAUUCCUCACUGUUUC
rfam:Neotoma lepida isolate 417 scaffold_233, whole genome shotgun sequence.